AGGGUAGCGCGUAAGCCGGUGCUACCUCGUGUCCCUCAGUACGUUUUCCGAGUGCUCGCUCACUCUUCCUUCCGUUAGAUUUUCACCGCACUCUUCGGAGAUUGGGGAGUCAGAGUGUCUAUUUUACAGGUCCUGCUCGACGGCCCUGGGUUUCCUCCAGUCCGUCUCCAUCCUGCGCCUGCGCCUGAAGGGGGGGAGAGGCCCUGAAGACUGACCCUGGUUCCUUUAGAGUGCACGGUAGUGCAACUCUGAUUUUAAAGCAUCCCAGUAAUCUAGCACAGACUUAUAUAAAGGCAGUUCAAGAGACAUACAUCCCUUCAGUCCACGAAUGUUUAUUGGCAGGCACUGGGACCCUUGGCAGUGGAAACAAGAAAAUGAGAGAACUUGCACAACUUCUGCUUGGAUAUGAUACAUGUCAGUUCUGCCCACAUUUUGUUGGCUGGAGCAAGUCAUGUGGCCAAGCCUGACUUCAAAGGGAUGAGGAUGUUCAACUCUACAGUGCGCCCUGAGGGAGAAACAGAAUAUUUAUGUGACACCAUCUUGACUACUACACUAGACAUUUCUUCUUUUACCGUGUGGCUUCUACAGCCACCACCGUUCUAAAAUGAUUGUCCAAACUGAGACUCAGAGAUUAUUUUUUCCUGGUGAAUGGUCAGAUUAAUUCAGCAGGAUCAUAGCACACAUGAGUUGAAGUUAUGGAAAAAGAGGUAGAAAGGUAGGUGGCAGUAAAGAGUUUAGACUUUAUAUUCAAGAGGCAAAAAUGGACCCAUUGAAAGUUUUUACAUGAAGGUAUGUUAUCUAGCAAAUAGGAAGAUUAAUUUGGCAGCUAUGAGUAGGAGGGUUUGGAGGGGAGAGAAAAUAGAUUGGGAGACUAUGGCAAGUGGUGUAGUGACCUCUGGAAUUACACAGAAGGGAAUGACAUUAUCGAUAUAGAUUUGUUUGUUGUCUCUUGCCUCAGUAGGUAAACUUAAUGAAAUUAGAUACUUCCUUCAUUUGGCUAGAGCAAUGUCUGGCAUAUUAUAAGCACUAAUUAGAUAUUUGUAGAAUAAAUGAAUACAUUAGAUCAUUUGAAAAAGAAUUUGGAGACACUUUUUACAUUUCAUUGGAAAAUCUAAAAGGACUUUCAGGACUAGGUUAUUAACUUCACUCACUUACCUGGUCGAUUGCAUCUGGCAAUCUUACUUUAUGUACUGCAGAAAUUUGAGCCAUCCCUUGGGACACAGAGUAUGUAUUAGACUAGAAAAUUCUAACCAUGAGUAAGAAUCUGCUGAGUGGUUUGAUUAUGUCUCAAUAUUUGCAGUAACAAACUGGGACAGAUCCCAGUGUUGUGCACUAACCUUAUGCACAUUCCUCCUAAAUAAUGGCUUCCAUCACAGACCUGCUACUCCCCGACUGCUGAAUGCUGCAGGAAAAAAUCACAGCACCAUGAAGACUGAUGCGCCACAGUUGCAUGACUUCCAACCCAUCUGAAACAUUUUUCUGCAUGUCUCACCUCAGUUCUCUCUCUUACUCUUCACAUUAGUUAUUUCACUCUCUCACCCCUUUCCUCAAGCCAGCCACCUACCCCUUUCUGCCUUUUCAGCAAAUCACUGUCUCCUCCUUCAGAGAAAAUAGAAGCUACCAGAUUGCAAUUCCCUUAACUUGCUCACUGAGGCAUAGACUGCCAUCUGCCCACCAAAUACUCAUUUUCCUUACCUAGUAACAGAACCUAGCUUAUGAAAUUGGGCCACCUGGAAUAAGGAUUACCUGUUCCAGACUCUCAUGCAGCCGGGUGUGGCCUGGAUCUAACUCCUGGCCAAUGGAAGUGUUGUGUAGAACUUUUAGGAAGGGACCUUAAAGGGAGAGGCCCCGAAAAUCCCUCUUUCCCUGUCACCAUCCCUUCUUACCAGGUAAGAACAGGGAAAAGACGGAUAGAGUGUAAGUAGCCAACUGCUGAGCAUAAGUGACCUUUAGAAGCCAUGUGAUGAGGAUGGCAGCAUUGAACAGUGUGGGUUGACUGUGGAGCUGCCAUACCCGCUGUGCACUGCCAGCUCAAGAUGUUGUAUGUCUAAGCAGUAGGUGGUUGGGGUUUUACAUGCAGCUGAACCUAAUCCUAAUACUCUCACCCUCCAACUUACAAACAUCUCUAUCUCACACUUGCCCUUGGUUUUUGCCUCUCAUCUCAAUGAAAGUGUAUCUUCCUUUGUGUAAGCCCAGUUCUUCCACUUGAACUUAAAGAUUUUGUUAUUUCCACUUUAUGUAUUUAUAGUUGGAUAGCCAAUGCAUUCACAUGGUUCAAAAUUCAAAUGAGACAAAAGGUUAUAUAGUGAGAAGUCUUUCUGCUAUUGCCACCCUAGAAAUCCAGUUCCCAUUCUCAGAGACAAUCAGUGACAUUAAAUUCACUAAUUACCUUCCAGAGAUGUUCUUUUAUUAUACAUGCAAUUAAAUAAUGCAAUUUAUUGGCCUUCUCGUGAGCUUUCUCACAAUCUGCCAGUUUAUGUUCAAAGAAAACUUCCUUUUGGUUAUUUCUUAUAGCUUCUGUUUUCUUGAUGGGAUUCCCUGUCUUUACAUUUGGUAUGAGAAUAUUUUGCUUUACAUCAUCACACAUAGUUAUGAGCCAUUGUAGUAUCUCUGUCUGCCAAUUCCAGAUGUUGGAAAUAAGAUCUUCAGGUUGACCCCACAUUGUGUAUUCUCUUGAGACUAGGUCAUAUUUUUAUAUUUCUUUGUAUGUCAGCUAAUUUUGGAAUGUAUCCUGGAUUUUGGAUAUGUUAUUGUAUAGAUCCUCUGGAUUCUGUGA